CCAGUACCCCCAACAGCCCAACUCCAGUCCUCCAGUACCCCCAAAAGCCCAACUCCAGUCCUCCAGUACCCCCAAAAGCCCAACUCCAGUCCUCCAGUACACCCAACAGCCCAACUCCAGUCCUUCAGUACACCCAACAGCCCAACUCCAGUCCUCCAGUACACCCAACAGCCCAACUCCAGUCCUCCAGUACCCCCCAACAGUGUUUCUCAACUCCAGUCCUCCAGUACCCCAACAGCCCAACUCCAGGCUGGAGUGCAGACUGGUACCCAGGCUGGAGUGCAGACUGGUACCCUGGCUGGAGUGCAGACUGGUACCCAGGCUGGAGUAAAACAAUACACACAUCUAUCUUGCUCUGUGUGUCCCAACAUGCUGCAUGACAGUAAAUCCUGUUCAGUUGAACAUUUCUACCAACGGUCAUUAUUUUAUAUGCAUUUAUUUCUAUUACUUUGACAGACUGUGUGCACACACGUGACACACACACACACGUGACACACACACACACGUGACACACACACACGUGACACACACACACACGUGACACACACACACACACGUGACACACACACACACACGUGACACACACACACACGUGACACACACACACGUGACACACACACACACACAUGACACGCACACACACAUGUGACACGCACUCACACAUGUGACAUACACACACACACGUGACACACACACACGUGACACACACACACACACACAUGACACGCACACACACAUGUGACACGCACUCACACAUGUGACAUACACACACACACGUGACAUACACACACGACACACACAGACACACUUGACAUACACACACACACACACACGACAUACACACACACACACACUUGACAUACACACACACACAUCACACACACACGUUACACACACAAAUAUGUGCACAAACUCCUGAUGACAGUUUGAUUUAUGAUUAUGACAGAAUGGAGUGUGAGGAAGUUGUGUGAAACUGCAAAGUUUUAUUUUUCUUGUUUUGUCUCUAAAUCAUUUGCCAAAAAGAAGCCUGGCCCUGAAAGUGGCCAUGGUUUCACACGUGACAUGACAUGUGAAAUCUUUUUGUUGCUGCCAAGAAGAUUACAGAGAAACAUAGCUGUAGUUAAGGGGGAAGACAUGCAGUUUCUAGAUACACUAUUUACUAUGGCCUCAUUGUCAUUCCUAUUUGUAGGUUUUGGAAGUUGCAAAAAUAAGACCCUGCGAGCAGAAAAUAACGGACGCUAUGAUGUUCUUUAUGAAUUGACAGUGAUACACUACCAUCUACGGCAAUAUCACAUUAUUGUAUUUGUUAAGACCCUUAGCGGCCAUGGUUACCAAUACCUUGGGAAUUAAAAUAAAAAAUAAUACAAUCAUUCUGUUUAUUAAGCUAUUAAAUUUUUUU
rnacentral:lncRNA from 1 species